GGCCAGGUAGCUCAGUCGGUAGAGCAGUGGACUGAAAAUCCACGAGUCGGCGGUUCAACUCCGUCUCUGGCCA
rnacentral:tRNA from 1 species